UGAGGAAUAUUGGUCAAUGGGGCGAGAGCCUGAACCAGCCAAGUCGCGUGAGGGAAGACGGUCCUACGGAUUGUAAACCUCUUUUGUCGGGGAGUAAUAGGCGGGACGUGUCCUGCUGUGAGAGUACCCGAAGAAAAAGCAUCGGCUAACUCCGUGCCAGCAGCCGCGGUAAUACGGAGGAUGCGAGCGUUAUCCGGAUUUAUUGGGUUUAAAGGGUGCGUAGGCGGACGAUUAAGUCAGCGGUGAAAGCGUGUGGCUCAACCAUACCACUGCCGUUGAUACUGGUUGUCUUGAGUGUAAACGAGGUAGGCGGAAUGUGAUGUGUAGCGGUGAAAUGCUUAGAUAUGUCACAGAACCCCGAUUGCGAAGGCAGCUUACCAGGAUACAACUGACGCUGAGGCACGAAAGCG
rnacentral:rRNA from 1 species